rnacentral:misc_RNA from 1 species
GUGGAGCAAUUGAAGCUACUGAGCAAGGCGGAGAAGGCCGGUCUGCUGUCUGCCGCGGAGAAAGCCGGGUUGUCUCUGUCGUCGAUUGAGAAAUUAGGGCUUCUGUCGAAGGCUGAGGAAUUAGGGAUUUUAUCGGCGGCGACAGAUCCAGGAACUCCCGGAGCGCUACUGAGCCUGAGCUUAGGGCUGUUGCUAUUGGGGCCUUCGUGUGUGUAUUUGGUACCGGAGGACAAUGUAUGGGAGAUCGUAU